CCAGAGCUGUUAAUAAUCGAUUAAUAAUCUUAAUCAUUAAUAAUUUGAUUAAAGUAUUUUCAUAACUUGAUUAACUGAUUAAAUUAAGAUUAAAUGCUAUUUCCUUUUUAAUUAAUGAUUAAAAUUAAAUUUAAUCAAAAUUUAAUCAUGAUUAAAGGGAAUUAAUUUAGUUUUAAGAAUUAUUUUACAGAUUAAAAAAAUUUAAUCAAAAAUUUAGUUUGAUUAAAAAUUUUGAUUAAUUUGGAUUAAAGUGGAUUAAAUGCCAAUUAAUAUUGCAUUAAUUAAAAAAUAAUAGUUUAUUAAAUUAUUUCAUGUGUUAUUAUAUCUUAUAUUAUGAGUCUAAGCAAUAUUAAUAAUAUUUAGCAACUCUACUGUUGUUUGUUUACUAGUAGUAAACAUAUGUUCGCCAAUGGAUAUUGCUUAUUUAUACACGUGUGCUUGCGAGUGUUUUUUUUUUGUUUUGUUUUUUGUUUUGUUGAGGAAACGCAUUUUGUAUUAAGUCUUGUUUGAUUGUUUAAAGACAUUUUAUCAUCGACUGUUGACUUUCAUAAUUAAGUACACAAUGGAUGAUGAGGAACUGUUUAGUGGUGAUGACUUCUCAAGUGACGACAUUUUUAAGGAUGUUACUUAUACCCCCCCUAGGAAAACUUCGAAGCGUAAAGUAUUUGAAGAUGGUCCGCCUGUGAAGAAAGCUUGUAUAGAAGCCGCGUACUUGAAUAAGACAAUUUUCCAGCCAAAUUUCUACGUUGAUAUCGAAAAAGUUUGUAUUGUUCUGAUUUAUUUAUGUAUGUACUGGUUCAGUAAAAGGCGUGAGUGUAAGUAGUUCCUUGAUUUGUGUUAUUUGGCUAUACUAACUCCCAAUGUCAAACUGAAUUGGCUUUCCGUUCUGAAAAGGACUUCUCCCAAUGUGACCACUGAAAUUAUCAUCACACGAGCUUUAAAAUGCAUUUUAAAAUUCGCUGUUGCUGAAAAACUAGUUCCAACAAAGCAGAGUUGUUCUAACCAUGAGGAUGAAAUCGCCUUUUUUGAUUUGGAAGAGAUUAAUGCAGACGAGGAAACGACAACUUCACAGAGCUUGGGCUAUAGUAAAGUAGAGCUUGAAAGCAUUAUCAGGGAGCAGUUGUACUCAUAUCUUGCGGACCCAAUAAAAAAUUGCGCAGUAUGGCAGAAGUAUGACUUGUUAAAACAAGCUUCGCUCUAUUUUAAUACGCCUCUGACAUCCUCAGCGCCUGUGGAGAGAUUGUUCUCUUUCGCAGGAAUUAUCAAUAGCGCCAGAAGAAAUGCUUUGAACGAUUUUUCAUUUGAAAAAUUAGUAUUGUUAAAAGCAAAUAAUUGAAUCUUUUUUAUCUUUAUGGUUGAAAUUAUUGAAAUAAUGUUAAAUUUGUUUGUUUAAAUUUUUGUUGAAUUAUUGUAAUGACUAUAUUUUGUUAUUAUUUAUUUAUUUAUUGUAUUAUUAAAUUCACCAUAUGAUUUAUAAAUAACAAUAAAUUUAAAAAUUAAUGGAAUAUUAAUUGCCAUUUAAUCCACUUUAAUCCAAAUUAAUCAAAAUUUUUAAUCUAACUAAGUUUUUGAUUAAAUUUUUUUAAUCUGUAAAUAAAUUUUUCAAACUAAAUUAAUUCC